GGAACCUCUCAUAUUCAUACAUAUGUGUGUGUGUGUUAGCUUCUAAGUCCUCUUUGAACUCUGAAGCAAAGCGAACUACAUGGACGAUUCCUGGCGAAUGCGGAUGGGAAUGCCCAGCCUCCCACGUCGCCGUUCCAUGGAAGACGGGUCGGCCGGCCCCACAAGGCGUUCCAUGGAGGCCCUCGACCCCGACGACUUCGCAGACGUUUUCGGCGGCCCACCCCGCAGUGUUUUGUCCCGUAAAUUCUCUGGCGACUUCACUAGAUCAUCCACUUCUUUUUACGAGGAGAUUUUCCGCCAGCCGGAGGUUGUUGCUUCCGUGGAGAAGAAGAGUGCUGGACGGAGCUUGCCGGCUUUCAGGAUCCCAGCCAAGGGUGAAGAAUUCUACAGUGAUGUUUUUGGGUGGGAGGAGGGACGGAGAUCAAGGGAUAGAUCGAGGCCCAACUCUAAGGCUAAAUCGAAGUCUAACUCCUCUUCGGUGCUUAGUUCAGAGGAGCUGAGCCCCCAUCGUCGGCCGGUUACCGGCGAUGAUGUGGCAUUGUCUUCUUUUGCUUUGAAGCUCAGGUAUCCAGAGCGCCAACUGCUUUUCAGUUGGGGUUGCUUUCCCAAAUUUAUGAUUUUUAAAGACUUCACCUUUCUUUGUGCUUAAAAUUUUUUCCAAAAGUCUUCACAAUUUUUAUUCUCUUCAAUUGAGUAGAUAAAAUGUUCUUAGUCUUAAAUUCAUAAUUCCAGGUUAAAAUCCAUUUUCAACCUUUCAUCAUUUUAUAUUUUUUCUAUUAGAUUCAUGUUUAUUGAAUUCAAUUGUGUUAUUUUUUUAUUAAAUUUUUAUUAAAUUCAAAAACUCAUAAUCUUUAGAAAUAACUCUAAUAUCAUAUCAUAGAGUAACUAUAUCAAAGAUUUAUUUAUUAACCGCGUAAAUAAUGCAACAUCUCAUUGUCAGUCAUCCAUGGGAGGGGGACAUCUUGUGCUCUAGCACUACUCAAUUUGUUAGCUCAUUUUAGCAAAAGCCACUAUCAUUCACUUUAUUAAGACAUCAUUAUUAAGAUGCUUGUAAGCAAUGCGGAAAUUGAUAUUGAAUUUUCUAGGAGAGAAUUCUUCACAUGCUUUGUGGGGUAGCUAUGGCUCCACAAGCCAUUUCACAUUAUUCAAGAUUCCCCAAUUGUGUCCUGAACAGUUUUUUACCUCGACAAACAUAUACCAUUCCAACUUUUUGGAAAUUCUAGGAAUAGUUCCUUUAUGUUGUUUUACUCUUCACUUUGGACAUUCAUAUUAAUUAGCUUCAGACCAAGACUAAGUGUAUACUUUUUUUAUUUGUACGUUUCUUUUCUUCUUUCUCUUUUCUUUGAUGGGCAACUAUUUUGGCUUGUUUUUGUAAAAAAAAUAAUUGGCAUCCCAAAAAUGGAGAAAGCUUAGAUUUCCCAUCUUCUUACAGGCCAAUCAAUGUUCCAUGUAGGUGGAACUCCACCACAAUCAGACCUCAAGAACAAGCAGGGAAAGAAGAGAUGCUAUCUUUUCCAAGUAAUUUUCCUUCCUAUGCCGACAAUUAUUACGUGGAAAAUGACCACAAUGACAAUUUCAGAAGCUCCUAUAUCAAAGUUUCACGGCAGGUCUCAUCCCCAGAAACCAUUAGUCUCGAACCCAAUUCGUAUCAAAGCAUCAAAGUAUCUGUGGAUGAUUUGGAGCUCAACUCCCCUUCAUCUCCUGUCUCUUCGCUUUGUCAAGAUCAGGAUGCAAGUGCUGGUAUACAUUAUAAUUUAAUGACAGAGGAAGAAAUGGAACAGGAGGAUGAUGAACUUAUGAGUUCUUAUGUCAUUGAGAUUAAUUCUGAUCACAGAGAAGUAGCUAGUGAAGCAAUUUCUAUUGAUGAGGCAAUUGCGUGGGCUAAGGAGAAGUUCCAGGUGCAAAGUUUUGACAGACAGCAAACGAAAGAUCCCUCAGCUGAAGUAGAAGGUGAUACGGUAACCCAUAUAGUUAGACCUGAAAUUUCACAUUGAGAAGUUGUGAGGAUAAAUGACAAGUUCUUUCGUUUGUCCCCGAAUUCUGCAGAAAGGCCUAACACGCAUGAGUUUACAGGACAAGAAAUGGAUGGGCACGGAAGGAUGCAAUCUCCUACGGUAAAGUACUGUUUCUGAGAAGUAUAAGCAAAUAAAUGAUGAUCACUAAGAUAAACUGUAUAUGAAUGAUAAUGAUAAAUAAACUGAAUAAUCUGGUUUGUGAAUGAUUCGAUAGCGUUUGAAAUAGAAUUCACUUGGAUAAACUGUGUAUCAGAGUUUCUGCCUGUGCUGAUCACUUGUAAUAUUGAUAGAAAAGUCUAAUAAAGGGCAUGUUUGGCAAACCAUAUGGUGUAAUGUAAUAGAAUGACACAUCAGAAAUUUAUUUCACCAUAUUCCGUUGCAGUUUAAUUACUGGAUACGCUUAAUACUUCUGAUUCCAUAAAAGCUAGUAGGAAAGGCACUUUCCCUUCCCAAUCGUGGUUCCCUCUAGCAUAGCCUAUCCAAACUGAAUAACUAGUGGAGAAUAACUCUAUCCAGACAUACAGGAGCUUGCAUGGGGCACAAGUCCCGAAUGUGGCAUUUGUGUUCUUGUGUUUGAAUAUAAUUGUGAUGAUCAAUAAGGGAAUGUAAUUCAAAGGACAAAGUGAGAGCAAGGAGAAUUUAAUCAUAUAAUUUCCUUCUUCUUUUGCAGGAAGAUGGGCUAAAGAAAUGGAGAAGUGAACAAGAAAUAGAAAAGUCAGAAAAAGAUGUAAGCUUUCGGUAUUAUCAAAGUCAAUGUAGGACUAUGCAUAUAUGAUAAAAGCUUGGGUUGAAGAGACAUCUUUAUUGCAAUAAUUGAUGCAUUGUUUAUGACCGGAAAAACUCUUAAAGGGUGAUAAGAUAACAGAACUUCCAGCUGCAAAAAUUAUAAUGUUGUAAAGUUAGUAGAACUAGUAGAAUUUAGUUAAAUUUUAAGGAAUGAGAUUUUGAUUGAUGGUUUUGUUUUCCUUCUGCAAAAAUUGCAGAUGGAGCUGGAGUUACUGGAUGAAGAUAUACGGUUGUGGUCAGCUGGCAAGGAAACCAAUAUCCGCUUGCUGCUUUCAACAUUACAUCAUGUAAUUAAGAUAUAUAACCUUUUCUUAUGUUUGAGGGCUUCAUCUCAAUAUGGGGGUAACUCAUGCCAUUGCUUGUAAAUGUUUUGUUGGCAUUGAAUUCAGAUUCUGUGGCCCAACAGCGGCUGGUCCGCAACCUCUCUGACAGGCCUUAUUGAUUGCUCGCAUGUGAAGAAGGCCUACCAGAAAGCCAGGUUGUGUCUCCACCCAGACAAAUUGCAACAAAGAGGGGCUACAUUACAACAGAAGUACAUUGCAGAAAAGGCCUUUUCCAUCCUCCAGGUAAAUCUUAGAGGUGGCAGGAAAAAAAUACUUUGAAAACAAAUAAAAGAAUUUAUUUCAAUAGAUUUCCUAAAUUGUUUCAGUAGGAGAAAAGAAUCAAUAAUCCAAAAUAACAUUCAAUUCUUUAUAUGCGGUUACAGGAUGCUUGGGCUGCAUUUAUCUCCCAAGAUGUCUUCUUUAAUUAGUAGACUGUUCAGGAUCCUUCUGGACCCAGUUUGUGAAGUAAGUUAGAAACCGAUGGCAAGCUAGUAGGAAUAAUUGAAGAACGGGGACAAAUCAUGUAUUCGAGAAUUUUGUAUGUCCAUCUGAUGCCUAACUUGCUUUCCUCUUCAAACCUAAAAGUUGAACAAUAUGAAGAUGAGAAUGAUAGUAUUGUUGAUAUCAGUUGGUAUUAGGGUGUAAUGUGAGUUUAUUCAAAUCAGCACUCUGCCCCUCCACCUCCAGUUCAAUUGUUCUUUAUCAACCAUUCAUAUUCCACACCUUGACAUAAUAAUUUGUAUUUUCCAUCGAAUCAAACUCAUAAUGGAUUGUUUAUCUUUCACCUAGUGCUGAAAUAAAACCAUUUAAGUCUGAAUGCAAAUUCGUGGCGUUUGCCUUGUCAGGAUUCAAUUAAUAAGAAGCAGAAGCAAAUUCUGCAACCACAAAAGGCAAAACAACUUAAGGAGCAGAACGCUCCCAACACUGCAUCGAUCCAUGAUUAGACAAUGAAAAAGCUAGCCUAGACAACUCAUAAGCAACACUUACAAUCUCUAUGUGCAUAUUUGAACUAAAUAGACUGGAAAUGCGUUGACAGCAGGUGCACAUCCUUUAAAAUAGAAUGCAGCAAUUGCAGACCAUCCUGCCUCUUAGACAAGCUGAUUAAUGACUUUAAUAGAGUCACUCUCCCCGAUCAGCUCCUCAACCUGAUGCUGCAAAGCACAAUGAAUGCCAAAUAGGAUACCCAUUGCCUCUGCAAACUCGGGCUGUCAAGACACAUGAAGACCUGAACAAAACUUCAUCAGAAGAACCACGCGCCACAUCCCCCAACCCAACAACCUCGUGAUCCAAAUUAACAGAAGCAUCUUUAUUGAGCUUCCAUUGACCCCGAUUUGGAGGCUGCCAAGCUUGAGGAACUGGCUGGAUGGGGCCAUAACUUCAUCUAAUGAUGUUUAUGUGCAGAUAACAAGGACGGAGAUGACAAAAUGAAAAGUCGUUAACGUACGACAUUGUAUGGAAACUUUUUUUUUUUCCUUAAUCAAACCAAAGUGUAUGGAAAAUUGGUGCUAACAAGUACAUGGUAAGAAGGAUUAUUUAGUGUGCUGCGUGCACCUAUUAUCUGUUGGACAAAUACUUUUCACCUAAUUCAGUGCUUCAAAAUUGGUGCAUAUUUAAUAGUUUCGAUUGAGGUAAACCCUAGGCAAUGGAGAGAAUAUGGAUAAAGCCACCUCCCAAAUUGCAAAACCAAGUGAUCAGGUGAUAUGUGCAAACGCAGUCCACAAAACAUAGACUUGAAGCAUGUUUUUAUAAAUUACAGAAUCCAGAUUUACAGAUGACACAAAAUUUCAAACGAGAAAGUGAAGAGAGUAAGGACAAAAACCCACCACUCUAUCCAGCUCCUUGCGUUAGCAGCUCCCUGAACUCUUCAUCAGUACUCUUAAGCAUUGUUGGCAAAGCCAUUUUAAUCCCACUUUGAAUAACCUCUAUGUGCCUUGGCUUUAUCCUGUUUUCCAAACUAAAAGCAAAAUAUUGAGGGAACUCCUUCAACUCCUCUAAUUUCCCCUUUAUUUCCUCAGAGAAGUACUCAAAUUUUGGCAUAAAGUUGUUCUCAACACUGAAAGUAAACAAUGCUGGGCACCUCAAAACCAUGCCCACAGCCUCAUCUCUUGAAAACCCAAUACUCUCCAAGUACUUCAACUUAGGAAUCAAGGUAUUCUCCACAUUAGACACCAACAACACCGAAUCUUGAUAAGCCAAAGCUCCCAAAUCUUUAAACCCAAGCCUUUGGAGAUAUAAAAGGCAUGGUUUCAGCUGGUCUCUGACACUAGAAACAAGCAAUCUUGGGCAUUUGUUGAUGACCCUUCUAAAUUUAUUUUCUGGGACUUUGAGGUCAUGGGAUAGGAAUUCGAAAACUGGGUUGAGGUCAGUUUUGAUGUUUGAGGUGAGGAUUUGAGGACACAUACCAAAAAUCCUAGCCAAGUCCUUUUGGUGGAUGCCUUUGGAUUGGAGAAAAGAGAUUAUGAAGUGAAUGGAAUCUAGAGAGGCAGAGUGGAGAGAAGGAUUUUGGGAUAAUGCUUUGCCAGAAUCAACACCCAUGAUUUCAAGGCAUAGGAUCUUUUCUUUAAUUUGGGAAGGAAUGUUAAUAUGAGCUGGUGUAUAGAGUGGAUGCUUGUGCAGGAGAUUUUUGGGUUUUGCUGAUAAGUAGGUGUUUGGUUGCUGGGAAUUUGAGUUUGAGGGUGCGGGUUUCUGGGAAGAGAAGCAGAAAGUAGAGUGUAAUGCUGUUGCUGCUGCGGCAGGCAUGGUUGGUAUCUGAGGAAGAGAGAGAGAGAGAGAGA
rnacentral:misc_RNA from 1 species